rnacentral:rRNA from 1 species
CCUACGGGUGGCAGCAGUGGGGAAUAUUGCACAAUGGGGGAAACCCUGAUGCAGCAACGCCGCGUGAAGGAAGACGGUUUUCGGAUUGUAAACUUCUAUCAAUAGGGAAGAAAGAAAUGACGGUACCUAAAUAAGAAGCCACGGCUAACUACGAGCCAGUAGCCGCGGGAAUACGUAGGGGGCAAGCGUUAUCCGGAAUUACUGGGUGUAAAGGGAGAGUAGGCGGCAAGGUAAGCGAUAUGUGAAAGCCUUAAGCUUAACUUCAGGAUGGCAUAACUAACUAUCUAGCUAGAGUACAGGAGAGGACAGCGGACUUCCUAGUGUAGCGGUGAAAUGCGUAGAUAUUAGGAAGAACACCAGUGGCGAAGGCGGCUUUCUGGACUGAAACUGACGCUGAGGCUCGAAAGCGUGGGGAGCGAACAGGAUUAGAUACCCGUGUAGUC